AAGAAGAAGAAGAAGAAGAAGAGGCUGAGGCUGUGGUGGAGGAGGAGAGCAAACCGGCGGAGGGUGAGGCACCGGCGGAGGAGGAGGCGGUGGAAGAGAAGCCUAAAGAAGAAACAGAGGAGAAAGCAGAAGAAGAACCUGCAGCAGAGAAGGCUGAGUAAUUAAAUUUCAAUUACAAAUUAUGGGUUGUAAUGAAGAAAGUUAAUGGGGGGUUUAAAAAAUUUGUGUAUGUGAAGUGAAGUGAAGUGGUUGAUUAAGUGGGAAGGAGUGUAAUAAGUUAAAAGGUGUAUAGGGAUUAGGAGACCUUGUCUUUGUUUUUGUGGAUGUCUGUUCAGAGUGCAAUAUUUUUGCCACUUUUGUUUGUUAUAAUAACUUACACCCAUAUAUGUCUCUAUGAAAAUAUUGCAUCAAUGUAAG
rnacentral:misc_RNA from 1 species